UGCAGAGCUCUCGAUACACCUAUCUCCGUCUCUUUUUGCACCAUCGUUUUACCUGCGAUCUGUCCUUCUCUCGAUACCGGACGCGCAAAUAAUCGAAGUAUUCUGCUGUUUGCAUUCGGAGAAUCGCGGAGUCUAGGACGAUGGAAAACGAGCAUAUGCCACGAUAUCAUAAAUUUACAGGAAGCUUUACAACAAAUUAUUUUUUGGAAAUGUUUGGUAUUAAACUGUAAGUAUCUCAAUUGAAGAUCGAAGUAAAUGAUAAA